UACAUGGGGUGCAAACGUUGCUCGGAAUUAUUGGGCGUAAAGCGCACGUAGGCGGUCCGUUAAGUCGGAUGUGAAAUCCCCCGGCUCAACCGGGGAAGUGCAUCCGAAACUGGCGGGCUAGAGUACGAAAGAGGGUCGCGGAAUUCCCGGUGUAGAGGUGAAAUUCGUAGAUAUCAGGAGGAACACCGGUGGCGAAGGCGGUUCUCUGGGCCUUACCUGACGCUGAGGAGCGAAAGCUAGGGGAGCAAACGGG
rnacentral:rRNA from 1 species